UACGGGGGGGGCAAGCGUUGUCCGGAAUUAUUGGGCGUAAAGAGUUCGUAGGUGGUUAUCUAAGUCUGGUGUUAAAGACGGGAGCUCAACUCCCGCAUGGCAUCGGAAACUGGAUGGCUAGAGUGUGAAAGAGGUAACUGGAAUUCCUGGUGUAGCGGUGGAAUGCGCAGAUAUCAGGAGGAACACCGGUGGCGAAGGGCGGGAUCCUGGGCCAGUACUGACGCUGAGGAGCGAAAGCGUGGGGAGCAAACAGG
rnacentral:rRNA from 1 species